rnacentral:tRNA from 1 species
GCCCCCAUAGCUUAGACCUAAAGCAUGGCACUGAAGAUGCCAAGACGGUACACAUACACCUGUGGGC